AGUUUGAUCCUGGCUCAGAUUGAACGCUGGCGGCAUGCUUUACACAUGCAAGUCGAACGGCAGCGCGGGGGCAACCCUGGCGGCGAGUGGCGAACGGGUGAGUAACGCAUCGGAAUGUACCCAGUAGUGGGGGAUAACUAGUCGAAAGACUGGCUAAUACCGCAUACGCACUGAGGUGAAAACGGGGGAUCGCAAGACCUCGCGCUAUUGGAGCAGCCGAUGUCCGAUUAGGUAGUUGGUGGGGGUAAGAGCCUACCAAGCCGACGAUCGGUAGCUGGUCUGAGAGGACGACCAGCCACACUGGGACUGAGACACGGCCCAGACUCCUACGGGAGGCAGCAGUGGGGAAUUUUGGACAAUGGGGGGCAACCCUGAUCCAGCAAUGCCGCGUGUGUGAAGAAGGCCUUCGGGUUGUAAAGCACUUUUGGCGGGAGGAAGGGUAGUAACCUAAUACGUUGCUACUUUGACGUUACCGACAGAAUAAGCACCGGCUAACUUCGUG
rnacentral:rRNA from 1 species